rnacentral:tRNA from 1 species
AGUAAGGUGGCUGAGCAGUAAAGCGGUGGAUUGUAAAUCCGCCCAUAAAGGUUAAACUCCUUUCCUUUCUA